UAAUAUGGGAGUGGUGAUUGCUAAUUGAAUUAUAAUUAAAAGAAGAAGUGCUUUCACACAUGUCUGACUCUGAAGGAGAAGAAGAGAGCUGGGAAGAGGUCGAAGAGAAGGAGGAAGCCUUUCGCCCUCUUUGUCCUUUCUGUUCCGAGCCUCUACCAGUUGCUAAUGACCCCAUUCUCUCUCACUGCCUCAAACGACAUGACAUAAACUUGACUGAAUUAAAAACCCACUACAAGCUUGAUUUCUAUGGCUGGAUAAAGUUUGUUAAUUAUA